rnacentral:rRNA from 1 species
UACGUAGGGGGGCGAGCGUUGUCCGGAUUUAUUGGGCGUAAAGAGCUCGUAGGCGGUUUGGUAAGUCGGGUGUGAAAUCUCCACGCUCAACGUGGAGGGGCCACUCGAUACUGCCAUGACUCGAGUCCGGUAGAGGAGUGUGGAAUUCCCGGUGUAGCGGUGAAAUGCGCAGAUAUCAGGAGGAACACCAAUUGCGAAGGCAGCUCGCUGGGACGUUACUGACGCUGAGACGCGAAAGCGUGGGGAGCAACAGG